GCCUCAGUAGCAUAGUGGUUAAUGCACAGCCCCGGAUAGGUUGAGACGCGAGUUCGAGUCCGGCCUGAGGUG
rnacentral:tRNA from 1 species